rnacentral:rRNA from 1 species
GUCAGCCGCCGCGGUAACACCGGCGGCCCGAGUGGUGAUCGUGAUUAUUGGGUCUAAGGGGCCCGUAGCCGGUUGGUCAGUCCUCCGGGAAAUCUGAUAGCUCAACUAUUAGGCUUUCGGGGGAUACUGCCAGACUUGGAACCGGGAGAGGUAAGAGGUACUACAGGGGUAGGAGUGAAAUCUUGUAAUCCCUGUGGGACCACCUGUGGCGAAGGCGUCUUACCAGAACGGGUUCGACGGUGAGGGACGAAAGCUGGGGGCACGAACCGGAUUAGAUACCCGGGUAGUCCCAGCCGUAAACGAUGCUCGCUAGGUGUCAGGCAUGGCGCGACCGUGUCUGGUGCCGCAGGGAAGCCGUGAAGCGAGCCACCUGGGAAGUACGGCCGCAAGGCUGAAACUUAAAGGAAUUGGCGGGGGAGCACAACAACGGGUGGAGCCUGCGGUUUAAUUGGACUCAACGCCGGGCAACUCACCGGGGGCGACAGCAAUAUGUAGGCCAAGCUGAAGACUUUGCCUGAAUCGCUGAGAAGAGGUGCAUGG